UCUAGGGAAAUACACUGCCAGAGAAUUUCGAACAUAAAGCGAAUCGGACUAAAGGUAAAGUUUCAACGAACGACGCGACGUGGCCAAGAUAAGAGCGGAAACACUCGUUACCAGAUCGCUAUGUAAAGCGAGCUACUUCGUACAAACUAUUAGAUGCUUAAUAGUCGUUAACGCUCAGCACCGCGGAUAGCAUUGUAGCAAGGAGCUUUAUUCCCGUCUACUCGUCAUCGUCGAACCUCGCGAUUCACCUCUGCUCGUAAGUGGAAUUUCGUUCAAGUGGAAUUGCCAUAAAUUGAUUAGAUCGAUUACGAUUACGAGCGAUUACGCCAUACGACAUUCUGUAUAUUUUGUUUGACUACGUGUGUAAGUUUCGGAAUAGAUCGCGUAUAAAGUAAGGGGGACGCAGGAUCAGAAAGUUUAAGAAAACUCGUCCCCAGGGAUAGAAUAUCGAAUAUCAGAAUGUAAUUUGAUUAGGAGGAAAUUUAGAGCUUCUUGUAAGAAAAAUUGAGAAACAGCUAUAGGAAAUGGGGGAAAUCGUCGCAGAUUUAUUCGGAAGAUCUUGUUUCACGUCGUGUUUGUUGAUCGAAUAGUUAUAGUCACUUCGAGAUUAUCGAGUGUUUGAAAUGUAAAUAAAAAUGGACUGAAAAGUACACUCGGAAAGAAACGAGUUUUCUUACGAGAAAUGUUGUUUUUAAUACAUGGAUUUUAAAUUAUUAAAAAAUUAUUAUACAAUAGGUCGAAAUAUUCGUAAUCCGCUUCGAUCCAUUACAGGAACCAAAACAAUAGACGAAAUGAUCUGUUCUUGUCGUUAAUAACCAUACGGUUGACGUGCAAUUCUAAAAUGACGUUGACAAUAUAUCGAAUUUCAAAGCUGCUCUUGUACGAAAAAUAAAAAAUACGAUUCAUAUUUUUCAACCACGAUCUCCAUAUGAUAUAUGUAUAUGCAUAAAUCUUCAGUUAAUUUCACCUAUGAAUUUUAUCUAUUAAUUCACAGCAAACUUUUGGUCCAACUGUACUCACACGUUGUAGAAAAUUAUAAUGGAUAAUCUAUGCAGAUGACUAUCCAAAUAGAAGAAAGCAGUGAUUUCGACACAUACUGCGUGUUUCAUCUUUAUCCAGGCUUUCUAUCCUCCGACGUUCUCGAUUUUCGUACGGGAUCCGUCAAAUCCGUCACAAAUAAAAAUGUAUCCUGUUUAUUUCUUCGAACGAAGAUGGUUAUUUCCAUAUUUCUAAGGUUCGCCGUAUUAUCGAACCCGUGCACGAUCCAUUUGUCUACUUCUUUCAUUUUUCCUAUUUGAACCAAGUGAUGGAUAAUAGCAGGAUGGACGACUUCCAUUUGAAACGUCGUUUCUCUUGCCAUUUUUCGCGCCUCUUUUUUCCUAACAUUUCUUAAAACGUUAUCAUCGAUGACAACAGCUUGCUAUCUUUUUCUCCAUUAAUUUUCCCUAAUGAAAACAAAAAAUCCACGGUCUUGAAUUUUUCAAAUCUCUUCUAACUGACAUUCUGCAAAUCCUAAUGACUCUCGUUGAAAAACAUCGAAUCGAAGACGUUGCAUAACAAUGGAAAAGUUUCAAAGAUCGCCGUUAGUAACAUGGAUAAGGAUACCGGGAAUAAACGUCAGACGUGUUCCUCUGUAAAUACAAAAAUAAAUUGAGAUUGCUCAAUACAACAGAGCCCUACGUAUCUUUAUGGAAAUUCUCGGGCACGAGCCUUGCGUCUAAUAUUGUAGAAAUACCGCGUAUGAAAUUCUGUUGUUUCCAAUGAGCAAAACCGUUCUUCAAUUUAUUUCCCUCCAGGCUACUGUUUUACUUUGACACUUGAACGAAUUCCCAUCGUCUUAUUACCAAGGACAAUGUAUAUCUCAGUUGUCGAAGCAAAUUACAGUCCGUUUAAGCAACGAAUACUUAAGUUGGGCGGUACGAGGAUUGCUUCGAAAUUCCUUAUUUCUCUGUAAAGUAACUCUGUGAAGUAACGAUAAACGUUUGGCUGGAAGACGAUGUAAUUUACUUGCAAAAAUAGAUUCAACAAUGGAAAUUAGACAACGAUUCUACGAAAUUGGAAUACCUCCUCGAAGCGAAUAGAACGUUCCAUGAGACGGUGGUGACGUUCGUAUGCGAAGCAAGUUGAUAUCAAACGAUCUUAACUAUCCCUGGAAGCACCUGCGUUAGAAGAAGAAAUGAACGUCGAAGAAUAAAUUGCAGUAUGAAAAUUGGUAUCUUAAUUCGAACGAUCCAAAAUUAUAUUUUCGCCGCGUUAUUUCAUUCUGUCGUAUCGGCCAUGAUAUCCUCCUUGUUUUAUUGGCUCUGUAAAAAUCUAGCGAAUAGAAUAUUUCUCAAGAUAUUCGCAGAAAAUCGAAGAAAAAGAUCGACUCGUUAAGAGGAAAUACCUUUUCUAUCGCGAUUGACUGUUGUUCUAAAACAACAAGAUACGACGGAGAUAUAACGAUGUAUGCUAUAGACAAGAGGAAAAACUGAAUGAUUUCAUCGAAUGCUUUAUCUCUUUAUUGGGCGUGUGACUAAGGAAAACUCGAAAUUAAAUAUUUAGAAACUUACGAAAAAUUGGACAACAGAAGAUCGAAGUUUAAAGAGAUUUGACAUAGAUGAAACAAGAUUACGAGCUUUUCCCAACUACACGUUUUGAUAAACGUGACGACGCAACGAGAUACAGCCGCUGUCUUUAAUGAUCGUAUCAAGCAUCAAAUUGCUCUGAAUUAGCUCGAUCAUUUUACGACUGUCCAUCUGGUAUCCAUCUUGAGAUUUAUUUUGUCACUUUGAUCGCAGUUUCGCUGGCAUCUGUCCGAUACUAUGUCUGUAUUAUAAGCGGAAGUUUACGAAAACAUGCGAGUUCCGGAACAUGAAAGCGAAACGAAUGUUACCCGAACGAUCUGAUCGAACCUCCUGACGUUAAUAGAGAUAUUAACCAUAAUUAGGUUCGUGCUUCGUUACACUACAGGAAGUUGCUGUAACUACUUUGGUAAAAGAGACACUGGACACGCUUUCGUUGAAAGUUUGGUUUUCAUCGGCCGAUAGUAUCCAUUAGUGGGUACAAAAGGAUGCGCUACAAGUAAUGGAAGUAACGUAAAUUGGCUGUGUAGUAAUUAUUCGUCCGUAAGAAGAGGAAGUAUUGGAAACUGCGUGAAUGAUAGGAUAAGAAAUUUUAGUUAACUUGUAUUCUUAAUUAGAUAGCCAUUUAAUGAAAAUAUUAAAUGAAAUUGCUGGAUUAAUAGUUUAGAUGGAUAUUUUAGAUGCUAUAUGAAAAGAAUUUUUAAAUAUCUUGGCAAAGUAAUCCUUCGCUAAAAAUGUUCACUAAAAUGGAUAAAUUAAUCUUCGAAGUGCUAUUUUACCUAUGAAAUUUUAGUGUAAUAAAGUAAGUAUUACGAAAUUGAUUACAGGAUUUUUAAUAUAUCGUGGUAAAAUUUUCAUAUAGAUAGUAUCUACGUAUAUAUGUGGAAAUAUGAUAAAUAUUUU